rnacentral:tRNA from 1 species
AUUUUAUUAGUAUAAAGGAAAUAUAUUAUCUUGAUAAGGUAAAGAUGGAUAAAAUA